rnacentral:ncRNA from 2 species
UUGCUUGUUUUGUUCUUCCUCACAGUGUCGAAGAUAGAUAUUACUAAAGAUAACUCGACUAUAUGCUGGAAAAUCCGGUGUAUCCAACAAUACCGAAAGGUAAAAAUUUGUUGGUGCGGACAAUCAGCAGGGAAGGUUCGCAAAAAGAUUUGCGAAAACCCUCAGAGACUAUACGUCGGGAAAUCGGAAGACAGAAAACGGUUUGUCAGAAGACGGAGAAUAUAAACGUUCCGAUUCUCUGAUUCUCCGAAUUCUCUGUCCUCUGAUUUAAGAUAUAGUCCGAACUGCAUGGCGACAUGCAG